UACAGAGGAUGCAAGCGUUAUCCGGAAUGAUUGGGCGUAAAGCGUCUGUAGGUGGCUUUUUAAGUCCGCCGUCAAAUCCCAGGGCUCAACUCUGGACAGGCGGUGGAAACUACCAAGCUGGAGUACGGUAGGGGCAGAGGGAAUUUCCGGUGUAGCGGUGAAAUGCGCAGAUAUCGGGAGGAACACCCGUAGCGAAGGCGGCACUCUGGGCCGGUACUGACGCUGAGGAGCGAAAGCGUGGGGAGCAAACAGG
rnacentral:rRNA from 1 species